rnacentral:ncRNA from 1 species
UGGUCCUAGCCUUGAAAUCAAUUUUUACUUAACUUAUACAUGCAAGUAUCCGCACCCCUGUGAAAACGCCCUUAAACCCCUAAUAGAGACAAGGAGCUGGUAUCAGGCACAAUAAUUAGCCCAAGACACCUAGCUACGCCACAUCCACAAGGGAUCUCAGCAGUAAUUAACAUUGAAUAUAAGCGCCAGCUAGAAUCAGUUAAAGUAAAAAGGGCAGGCAAAUUUGGUGCCAGCCGCCGCGGUUACACCAUGUGGCCCAAAUUGAUUUUUUUCGGCGUAAAGAGUGAUUAAAGUAUUAUUCUUCUGUAGUUAAACUAAAAUUUAGUUGUAAUAAGCUUAUAUUUAGGAAACCCAAAAACGAAAGUUACUACACCCUAAAACAACUUGAACUCACAAUAGCUAAGACACAAACUAGGAUUAGAGACCCUACUAUGCUUAGCCAUAAACUUUAAAUUACAUUAAACAACGCCUGGGGACUACGAGCAAAGCUUAAAACCCAAAGGACUUGACGGUGCCCCAUAUCCCCCUAGAGGAGCCUGUCCUAUUAUCGAUAACCCCCGUUUAACCUCACCAUCUUUAGCCUAAUCAGUCUGUAUACCUCCGUCGUCAGCUUACCACAUGAGUGACUUAUAGUAAGUACAAUGUUUUAUUCAUCAAUACGUCAGGUCAAGGUGCAACUAAUAAGAUGGGAAGAGAUGGGCUACACUCUCUAAUUUAGAAUAUACGAAAAACUACUAUGAAAGCUAGUUUAAAGGUGGAUUUAGCAGUAAAAAAAGACUAUGAGAGCUUUUUUUAAUCUGGCCCUGGGGUGUGUACACACCGCCCGUCACCCUCUUCGCAGCUUCAAAUACAGUGUUUAACAUAACCCUGCNCAGUAGAAGGUAAGUCGUAACAUGGUAAGUAUACCGGAAGGUGUGCUUGGAAA